UCGAGCGGACCGACGGGAGCUUGCUCCCUUAGGUCAGCGGCGGACGGGUGAGUAACACGUGUGUAACCUGCCUGUAAGACUGGGAUAACUCCGGGAAACCGGGGCUAAUACCGGAUGCUUGAUUGAACCGCAUGGUUCAAUCAUAAAAGGUGGCUUUUAGCUACCACUUACAGAUGGACCCGCGGCGCAUUAGCUAGUUGGUGAGGUAACGGCUCACCAAGGCGACGAUGCGUAGCCGACCUGAGAGGGGGAUCGGCCACAAUGGGACUGAGACACGGCCCAGACUAAUACGGGAGGCAGCAGUAGGGAAUCUUCCGCAAUGGACGAAAGUCUGACGGAGCAACGCCGCGUGAGUGAUGAAGGUUUUCGGAUCGUAAAACUCUGUUGUUAGGGAAGAACAAGUACCGUUCGAAUAGGGCGGUACCUUGACGGUACCUAACCAGAAAGCCACGGCUAACUACGUGCCAGCAGCCGCGGUAAUACGUAGGUGGCAAGCGUUGUCCGGAAUUAUUGGGCGUAAAGCGCGCGCAGGCGGUUUCUUAAGUCUGAUGUGAAAGCCCCCGGCUCAACCGGGGAGGGUCAUUGGAAACUGGGGAACUUGAGUGCAGAAGAGGAGAGUGGAAUUCCACGUGUAGCGGUGAAAUGCGUAGAGAUGUGGAGGAACACCAGUGGCGAAGGCGACUCUCUGGUCUGUAACUGACGCUGAGGCGCGAAAGCGUGGGGAGCGAACAGGAUUAGAUACCCUGGUAGUCCACGCCGUAAACGAUGAGUGCUAAGUGUUAGAGGGUUUCCGCCCUUUAGUGCUGCAGCAAACGCAUUAAGCACUCCGCCUGGGGAGUACGGUCGCAAGACUGAAACUCAAAGGAAUUGACGGGGGCCCGCACAAGCGGUGGAGCAUGUGGUUUAAUUCGAAGCAACGCGAAGAACCUUACCAGGUCUUGACAUCCUUCUGACAACCCU
rnacentral:rRNA from 1 species